GCACAAGCGGUGGAGCAUGUGGUUUAAUUCGACGCAACGCGAAGAACCUUACCAGGGCUUGACAUCCCCUGACCGCGUAUGAAAGUACGUUUUCACCCUCGGGUGACAGGGAGACAGGUGGUGCAUGGUUGUCGUCAGCUCGUGUCGUGAGAUGUUGGGUUAAGUCCCGUAACGAGCGCAACCCUUGUCCUUAGUUACCAGCACGUAAUAGUGGGCACUCUAAGGAGACUGCCGGUGACAAACCGGAGGAAGGUGGGGAUGACGUCAAGUCAUCAUGGCCCUUACGGCCUGGGCUACACACGUGCUACAAUGGUCGGUACAAAGGGUUGCCAAGCCGCGAGGUGGAGCUAAUCCCAUAAAACCGAUCGUAGUCCGGAUCGCAGUCUGCAACUCGACUGCGUGAAGUCGGAAUCGCUAGUAAUCGUGAAUCAGAAUGUCACGGUGAAUACGUUCCCGGGCCUU
rnacentral:rRNA from 1 species